UAACGCGUGGGAAUCUGCCUAUCAGUGGGGAAUAACGACGGGAAACUGUCGCUAAUACCGCAUACGCCCUUCGGGGGAAAGAUUUAUCGCUGAUAGAUGAGCCCGCGUACGAUUAGCUAGUUGGUGAGGUAAUGGCUCACCAAGGCUACGAUCGUUAGCUGGUCUGAGAGGAUGAUCAGCCACACUGGGACUGAGACACGGCCCAGACUCCUACGGGAGGCAGCAGUGGGGAAUAUUGGACAAUGGGCGAAAGCCUGAUCCAGCAAUGCCGCGUGAGUGAUGAAGGCCUUAGGGUUGU
rnacentral:rRNA from 1 species